rnacentral:rRNA from 1 species
UACGUAGGGGGCAAGCGUUGUCCGGAAUUAUUGGGCGUAAAGAGCUCGUAGGCGGCUUAGUAAGUCGGCGGUGAAAUACCGAGGCUCAACCUCGGCACUGCCGUCGAUACUGCUAUGGCUAGAGUACUGGAGAGGAGAUUGGAAUUUACGGUGUAGCAGUGAAAUGCGUAGAUAUCAGGAGGAACACCGGUGGCGAAGGCGGUUCUCUGGGCAUUACCUGACGUGAGGAGCGAAAGUGUGGGGAGCGAACAGG